rnacentral:rRNA from 1 species
UACGGGGGGUGUGAGCGUUGUUCGGAAUUACUGGGCGUAAAGGGCGUGCAGGCGGCCUGUGCAAGUUGAAUGUGAAAUCCCCGGGCUUAACCCGGGACGUGCGUUCAAGACUGCGGGGCUUGAAUACGGGAGAGGAUCGUGGAAUUCCUGGUGUAGAGGUGAAAUUCGUAGAUAUCAGGAGGAACACUCGUGGCGAAGGCGACGAUCUGGACCGAUAUUGACGCUGAGACGCGAAAGCGUGGGUAGCAAACAGGAUUAGAUAC